AUGGCUAAUUCUAUGCUGGGCAAGUGGGAGGAAGCUGCUCGUGAUCUGCAUGCCGCGUCAAACAUUGAUUACAAUGAUGAGAUCAAAGCUACCCUCAAGAAGGUGGAGCCUAAUGCACACAAGAUAGUGGAGCACCGCAGGAAGUAUGACAGGCUCUGGAAAGAGAGGAAUGACAAGAAAUCUGAGCGUGACCGGCUUCGUCGACGUGCUGAGGCAUAA
rnacentral:rRNA from 1 species